rnacentral:siRNA from 1 species
AUGGUUGACAAUCGCCGGUCCACU